rnacentral:tRNA from 1 species
CGGGGCGUGGCGCAGCUUGGUAGCGCACUUGCUUUGGGAGCAAGGGGUCGGGGGUUCGAAUCCCUCCGCCCCGA